UACGGGGGGAGCAAGCGUUGUUCGGAUUUACUGGGCGUAAAGGGCGCGUAGGCGGCCACCGCAAGUCGACUGUGAAAUCUCCGGGCUUAACCCGGAAAGGUCAGCCGAUACUGCGGGGCUAGAGUGCAGAAGGGGCAACUGGAAUUCUCGGUGUAGCGGUGAAAUGCUUAGAUAUCGUCAAGAACACCUAUUGCGAAGGCAGCUUACUAAGCUUUAACUGACACUGAGGCACGAAAGUGUGGGGAUCAAACAGG
rnacentral:rRNA from 1 species